rnacentral:lncRNA from 1 species
UGUAUUUAUAUAUCUCAAUUCACUCUAACUUCAAAGAAACAUCUGUUCGAAAAUAUAUUCCCAAAAGUUCAGAAAAAUCUCCCAACGAUUUAAAGGAUCCCCCAAAAAUUCUCAGAUUGCCUUUUAAUAGUGAAGCCUUAGGGCAACACUUUUUCCUUGUUUUUCCUUUUAGUCCCUGAUUCAGAUUUCAGUUUUUUCCUAAAUGGUCCUCAGUUUCCUGACUUGUGCACCAAGUUUGAGGCUGAAAUUAUGCCUAAGUCCCUCACUAGAAUAUUCUAGGGGUUGUUAUCAGAUUCUUUUAAGGCUCAAAUACCCUUUAUACCUCUAUUUCUUUUCCUAAUUAACUAACCUGCAAUUUUAACCUUGGUCUAUCAUUUGGUUUUGUCAAAAC